CUAAUUAGGGGCAAUUAGGCAGAGUCAUUCAGCGAGCGAUACCAGCCCUGAAGCCUUGUUGAUUACAUGUAUUUUGUAAGACGGUGAUAAUCAAAGGCUGUGCGUGAUACUGACGUAUUAUUUCAUCAUUUCUUUUUUUUUUUUUACCAGAUAAGCCAUAUGGCCACAUCAUCUGAAUCUACACGAGGUCAACAUGAGGUCCUACUUGGAAGCUCGUUAUCCCGUUUCAUCUCUUGAAGGAAUGACAUUUAGUGAAUCCUGCCGACGGUUUCAAAUGGCACCUGUUUAAUUAUUUGGAAUAAUUACUCGGAACACAAAGCUCAAAAUGUGGCAGGAAAUUGAUGCACGAUGAGUGCCUUCGGUGCGAUGCGGUGAAUGCAGCCGAUUCCCGCCUUCCCCUCGUGUCACGUUUGCGCAACAGCCUCACUCCGGCGACUGGAUACAUCGGAUGGAGCACCGUCUCCGCCUCCUGCCGCCGCCGCCGCCGCCUCCGCUCUUGGGUGGGCUCUAUACCGACUUCCUGGCGCCCGGUUGGUAUUCGCUCAGCGGCGGGUCUUGUCACUUGCCCUAAUCGAGGCUGAGUGUUUUCUUUUUGGUUAAUCAAGGAGACGUGUCAGUCACCCGCCCGGUAGGGCCCGGAGACCUUUCUCCGAAAGGCAAUCUGGCGAUCCGUAAUUACCCCGUUGACGAGGACGCGGCGCCCGGCGUCCCUGAACGCCGCCUCGCCGCCUCGGAGCGCCCGCCCCCCCACCGCUCGAGAUGCGGUUGCCACGGCGACGGCAGCUUGGGUAAACACCUGCAUCUCAGAAGAGAGGAAAAGGCUCUACAGGGAUAACGCACCGAGAAUGGAAUAGGCAGGAAGUGUGUGUAUAUAUACAGAGACGGGCACUUUCAUCUUAUAUUUUGUGUGCGUGUGUGCUUGUCGGUGUUUGUGCGUGUGUGUAUGGGGGGAGGGGAUCCAUUUGAGGAAGUCAAAUUAGUUCUGACUUCCAGUGAAGUCGGACCUGCUUGUACAUUUCCUCUUUAUAGCCUCACCUGGAAUUUGAAGUAGUGCGACGUUCCCACUAGUGGAAGUGGAAGUGUGUCAAAGCGCUGGCUUUGAAGAUUUCCAAUCCUCAAGUAUUGGUAUUCUGCAGGCAUUGGGAUGAUAUUUAUUUUAUUAUUUAAUUUCCUGAUGUAGGCCAACACUCUUGAGUUAAACUUCAGGAGGCCUAAGGAUGAGACCAGCUGUCUUCACAGAUAUAGUACCUCCUCCUGGGAACCCAAUCCCAGAACCUUUAAGACAGUGGUCCCCGACGCUUCUGGCCCUGUGUCCAAUUCUUGCGACCCCAACUUCUUGCAUGUUGUUGUGCACCCCCAACAUCUGCCUGUGAAAUCAUCAUAUCCCAGUAUAGAAUAGUCAGUAGCAGUUUGCUUAUGGCUGUAAAUCAUCUGCUAUAUAAUAACUGCAAAUAUAUAAUAUAAUAAUAAGAAAUUGGCAAUCCAAUGUCAUAGCUUCUGCAAUCUCCCGAUUCCAAUCGGUGUUUAAUAGGUUGGUGUUUGAUAGGUUGGUGUUUAAUAGGUGCAAACAUGUAUGCAAUGGUUUCAUAAUGAAUCAAACAACGAGCAACGGAAAUCAAUCAUUAUGUCCCAAACUAAUCACUGUUCUCAGAAUCAAACAUUAAACUUUUGUGAUGUGACUUUUGUGAUGUGAUGGGCCUUAUUUAUUUAUUUUCACACAUUCUCUCUCCUGCAUGCCCAAAGCAUAUCAACACCUGCUCUUGAAGCCGCAGGAGAGCAAAAUGUAUGAUUUUUUUUCUGCUGCAACGAGGCCGCCCAGAGAUUAAGAUAAGGUUCUGCCUCGGCUGGUGGUCCCUAUACGUCUUCGCG
rnacentral:lncRNA from 1 species